UAGAACACAACAGUGGCCCAAAUCGAGCUACAAAUCAGCGACCAGAAUCCGGCGACUAGCGGGGAGGAUUCCUUCUUCUUCUCCAAUUCGAAGAAUAAUACCCUUAAUAUCAUUUCUUUCUUCUCUGUGCUCAAAUCGAAGAACAAGGCAAAACCCUAUCUCCUUCCUUCUUGCUGAAAUUCAAUGAGAUGUUUGUUUUCUUUAACCGAGUAACAAAAUCGCUGGUUCCUUUUACUUGAAAGAUGGUGAGAAUGAAAUGAGGAAAUGGAAAUGGAUGAGUACAGAAAGGAUCGGAUUUAUUUAUACAAUGGUAAGAAAAAUGUCCAGGAUCCAAAACAUGGGCCGAUUUGGCUUUUAGAUUCUUCUCUCUCCGCCUGCAUCCAAAAUCAGUGGACCUGAAGUUGACAGGUUAGUUCCCUAAUGGAACUUAAGACUGGUGGAAAAGCCAUGCCAAUGGAGAAAAGGAGUUCCUAUCCAUUUCAAAUGAUGAUCCUAGGGAAUCAAUCAAUUUAGCGUACGCCAUUAGAGGAGUAUGUUGUUAUGGUACUAAAUAUGCUAUGUGAUUUUUCUUUUGCUGUUAUCAAUGGAAAUUAUUUAGUUGGAACAAAGCUUUAGAUUUCACUAUCGGGUUCCCCAGUUCUGGCCUGAACUCAAUGAUUCUUUUGUUACUGGACCUUCUCCAAAUCAACAUGGGUUCCCCCUGUGUCCAAAUCUACCUUCUCAUCUGUCUCUUCGCCCUCUUCUCCAUUUUUAACAUUAGUUUGUUGUCUCAUUGCAUGGAUGGUUGAAGCUCGAAUAUUAAGUUUGGCUGAACCUGGAAGAUUUGCUUUCGUAGGAAGGUGGCCGGAGUAAUUAGCAGCAAUGGACAGUAGCUCACUCACAGGAAUGGAGCACAAUAUCAGGGAAGAAGGGGUAGUUUCCACACUCGCUAGCAGGGAUGGAGCUCAGUUGAUGUGAUGGAGCACUAUCGCAAGGAAGAAGGAUUAGGGCAAUCACAUCCAGCAUCUCCAUUGAACCUAUAGGCCUGCUCGACAUGUUCAACUCCAGUGGAUUUGUGUAGUAUGAAGUUCAGAAGUCUACUAACUAGAAAACGGAACUGUUUAUUGCUGAAGUUGCAUCCAAGUAUCCAAGUUUGCUCAGUUAGAAUUUUUCACCAACUACAACCAUAAUCUCCAAAGUCAGGGGAAGUGGGGGGUUUUGCACCUUCUUGUUAGAGUCCACUGAAGUGCAUUGUGGGUACCUAGGAACCGAAUUCAACUACAACCCUGACAGUGGACUACUGACUUUGACUAUCCUGGCCUCUAGAGGAAGAGAAUGUACAGAUGGCCUAUUGAAAGGGUUGAAAUCGUCUGCAAUUCCGAUCUCGU